AAUACACAAGGGGCUAAGACAGGAACACAAACAGGUAAACAUAAACACAUAGCAGGAGAAGACAGAAGACAAGACACGGCACAGACAUAGCAAAAUACAAAGGGGAUCUACAAGGUCAGGGAAGGACAGGAAGAGACAUGGAAAACACAGGAAGUUCAAGCCCAGGAGAUACCACUGAAAAACCAAACUAAAAGUCCAACAGGUGAGGUGAAACACAAAACCCAGAACCUUGACAGCCCUUCCAUUCCUUGAUCUGAGGAAUAGGAGAAGAUCCGUCUAGCUGCAGGAUUCACGACUUGAGAAUGAGCAGAUUAAUCAUCAGCCCCUUCCGUUCAGAGUAGCCUUAGAGACGGGCACGUUUCUAGAAAGACCUGUUCCAAGCAUUCCGCAUAAAUGACUCGAGUGAGCUCCCCUAAUAGGAACUUGCGAAAUACAGCCUCGUAGCCGCCUGCUACACACAUGCAGUAACAGUACCAGUUUAGAGCGGAUUUGCUGCAAAUUGCUGAACAGUUUAAUCACAGUUUGUGAUACAGGACGGCGUGCAAAUGAUCUUCCUGGGAAAUCUCAUCCAGUUCAUCAGUGCAACUUAUUUUGUCAUUGGAAACCACAUGAUAUCGGAACCCGGGACAUUGCUCAGGUGCUGUGGACAGGAGGCCUAUAAUGUGGACCGGCAGUUGUGCUGUGGACGUCUGCGCAGUGAGAAGAUCCUUAAGAAGGAACACAAGGACAGCGUUUGCUGUGGAGACGUCCAGUACAACCCACAGACACAGCGCUGCUGCGGAGAUCCUCCUGAAAUAAAUGAACUCUCAGUUUCCUGUGAGACGGACUGUAAACAGGUUUUGACCCAAGAGCCCACAGGAAACAACAUGAUCCCGGAACCCCGGACAUUGUACAAGUGCUGUGGACAGGAGACCUAUAAUGAGGACCGGCAGUUGUGCUGUGGACGUCUGGGCAGUGAGAAGAUCCUUAUGAAGGAACACAAGGACAGCAUUUGCUGUGGAGACGUCCAGUACAACCCACAGACACAGCGCUGCUGCGGAGAUCCUCCUGAAAUAAAUGACCUCUCAAUUUCCUGUGAGACGGACUGUAAACAGGUUUUGACCCAAGAGCCUACAGCAAACAACAGGAUGUCGGGACCCCGGACAUUGUCCAAGUGCUGUGGACAGGAGGCCUAUAAUGUGGACCGGCAGUUGUGCUGUGGAAGUCUGCGCAAUGUGACGAUCCUUAUAAAGGAACAGAAGGGCAGCAUUUGCUGUGGAGACGUCCAGUACAACCCAGAGAAACAGGGCUGCUCAAACCACAUGGUGUCGGAACCCGGAACAUUGUCUAAGUACUGUGGACAGGAGGCCUAUAAUGAGGACCGGCAGUUGUGCUGUGGAAGUCUGCACAAUGCGAAGAUCCUUAUGAAGGAACAGAAGGAAAGCCUUUGCUGUGGAGACGUCCAGUACAACCCAGAGACACAGGGCUGCUGUGGAGAUCCUCCUGAAAUAAAAGACCUCUUAGAUUAACUGUGAGACGGACUGAAAACAGGGUUCGACCCGUCUCCUUCAACCCACUGCUCUUUUGAACAUAGCACCUUUUCAAUCAAGGAAAAAAAUAUUUGCUUUGACUAGCACUAUCUAACUGUUUGUAAUUGUGUCAAACUUGAAGAUCCUUUAUUUCCUUGAAAAAGAUUGCUUAUUUUGUCUUAUCUAAGUUGUUAAUUUUCUCUGCAAACGGGAAAUAUUUUUGAAUGUAGAACAGUGCAAAUGUAGAAGCGAAUAUGCCCAAAUAUACCUGCCCCUUUACAUUUGUCCAUGUUAUGAUUAUUACUUUUAUCCUGCAAGUUUAGCUCAGGAACAAUACUAUACAAUGGUGUAUUCCCUUUUUGCUAGUUAAAGCACAAUGAAAUGGUUAAUUCUAGGGAUGGGCGUGAGGAAUCGAUUACACGAGUACUCGUUACUCGGGACAAGCAAACUCGAGUUUGCAUACACACACAGACAACUUUUCUGAAGCAAAUGCAGUGUUUCCCCUACCAUUGUUCAGGCCUGGCGGGCCGCCAGGCCAACGAGCGCCCCCGCCAGGCCAACAACAGGCCAAAAAAAAAAAAUAAUAAUAAUAAUAAUGAAAAGAAAAGAAAAAAAAAGUGUCGCGCGUGCGCAGAUUAUGCCCCAUCAUAACGGACAAUCUGACAGCAUUAAGUUAUAUCAUCAUUAGCAUGGCACUGUCACACUAAAUUUGUACCGGCUGCCAAAUACGUAAUCCAUUCCAAACCUGCCCGGCAACAGAUGAUCAGAACCUUUUCGAAUGACGUGAAAGGUUCACGAACAUUCGCGAACCUUCUAUCUAGCGAUCCGUUAUCUGUAUUGUGCUAUUUCGUCCUUGACCUGCUAUAAACACUCAGUUUACUUGCUAAAUUUGAUUAAACAAUGAAAUACAAUACAAAUAUAAAGUAAAAACAAGUGUUAUCUAGCGAUCCGUUUUCUGUAUUAUGUUAUUUCGUCUUUGGCAACAUGAGCGCAAAUGUUUUUUGAAACCCGCUUUAAACACUCAGUUUACUAGCUAAAUUUGAUUAAAAAAUGAAAU
ensembl:lncRNA